GGUUGCGAUCAUACCAGCACUAAUGCAACGGAUCCAUCAGAACUCCGCAGUUAAGCGUGCUUGGGCGAGAGUAGUACUAGGAUGGGUGACCCCCUGGGAAGUCCUCGUGUUGCAACCC
rnacentral:rRNA from 1 species